rnacentral:rRNA from 1 species
UACGAAGGGGACUAGCGUUGUCCGGAUUUAUUGGGCGUAAAGAGCGUGUAGGCGGCCAGGUAGGUCUGCUGUGAAAACUCGAGGCUCAACCUCGAGACGUCGGCGGAAACCAUCUGGCUAGAGUCCGGAAGAGGAGAGUGGAAUUCCUGGUGUAGCGGUGAAAUGCGCAGAUAUCAGGAAGAACACCCGUGGCGAAGGCGGCUCUCUGGGACGGUACUGACGCUGAGACGCGAAAGCGUGGGGAGCGAACAGG